rnacentral:rRNA from 1 species
UACGGGGGGGGCAAGCGUUGUUCGGAAUUACUGGGCGUAAAGGGCUUGUAGGUGGCCAACUAAGUCAGACGUGAAAUCCCUCGGCUUAACCGGGGAACUGCGUCUGAUACUGGAUGGCUUGAGUGUGGGAGAGGGAUGCGGAAUUCCAGGUGUAGCGGUGAAAUGCGUAGAUAUCUGGAGGAACACCGGUGGCGAAGGCGGAUCUCUGGGCCUUACCUGACGCUCAGGCGCGAAAGCUAGGGGAGCGAACAGG